rnacentral:piRNA from 1 species
UGGUCACUUAAUACCCCCUGACUAA